AUACAUGCAAGUCGAGCGGACAGAUGGGAGCUUGCUCCCUGAUGUUAGCGGCGGACGGGUGAGUAACACGUGGGUAACCUGCCUGUAAGACUGGGAUAACUCCGGGAAACCGGGGCUAAUACCGGAUGGUUGUUUGAACCGCAUGGUUCAGACAUAAAAGGUGGCUUCGGCUACCACUUACAGAUGGACCCGCGGCGCAUUAGCUAGUUGGUGAGGUAACGGCUCACCAAGGCGACGAUGCGUAGCCGACCUGAGAGGGUGAUCGGCCACACUGGGACUGAGACACGGCCCAGACUCCUACGGGAGGCAGCAGUAGGGAAUCUUCCGCAAUGGACGAAAGUCUGACGGAGCAACGCCGCGUGAGUGAUGAAGGUUUUCGGAUCGUAAAGCUCUGUUGUUAGGGAAGAACAAGUGCCGUUCAAAUAGGGCGGCACCUUGACGGUACCUAACCAGAAAGCCACGGCUAACUACGUGCCAGCAGCCGCGGUAAUACGUAGGUGGCAAGCGUUGUCCGGAAUUAUUGGGCGUAAAGGGCUCGCAGGCGGUUUCUUAAGUCUGAUGUGAAAGCCCCCGGCUCAACCGGGGAGGGUCAUUGGAAACUGGGGAACUUGAGUGCAGAAGAGGAGAGUGGAAUUCCACGUGUAGCGGUGAAAUGCGUAGAGAUGUGGAGGAACACCAGUGGCGAAGGCGACUCUCUGGUCUGUAACUGACGCUGAG
rnacentral:rRNA from 1 species